rnacentral:ncRNA from 1 species
CGACCCCAGGUCAGGCGGGACUACCCGCUGAGUUUAAGCAUAUAAAUAAGCGGAGGAGAAGAAACUUACAAGGAUUCCCCUAGUAAC